CUCUCGGGGUUACAGCCUUGCUGAAUUAUUCACCCUUGUCUUUUGCGUACUUCUUGUUUCCUUGGUGGGUUCGCCCACCACUAGGACAAACAUAAACCUUUUGUAAUUGCAAUCAGCGUCAGUAACAAAUUAAUAAUUACAACUUUCAACAACGGAUCUCUUGGUUCUGGCAUCGAUGAAGAACGCAGCGAAAUGCGAUAAGUAGUGUGAAUUGCAGAAUUCAGUGAAUCAUCGAAUCUUUGAACGCACAUUGCGCCCUUUGGUAUUCCAAAGGGCAUGCCUGUUCGAGCGUCAUUUGUACCCUCAAGCUUUGCUUGGUGUUGGGCGUCUUGUCUCUAGCUUUGCUGGAGACUCGCCUUAAAGUAAUUGGCAGCCGGCCUACUGGUUUCGGAGCGCAGCACAAGUCGCACUCUCUAUCAGCAAAGGUCUAGCAUCCAUUAAGCCUUUUUUUCAACUUUUGACCUCGGAUCAGGUAGGGAUACCCGCUGAACUUAAGCAUAUCAAUAAGCGGAGG
rnacentral:rRNA from 1 species